GUCGAUUCAAGUUACCUUCGGGUAAUGAGGAUGGCGGACGGGUGAGUAACGCGUAAGGAACUUGCCUCUUGGACUGGGACAACUGUUGGAAACGACAGCUAAUACCGGAUAUUAUGAGAUUCUCGCAUGAGAAACUUAUGAAAGCUAUAUGCGCCAAGAGAGAGCCUUGCGUUCCAUUAGCUAGUUGGUGGGGUAACGGCCCACCAAGGCGACGAUGGAUAGCCGGCCUGAGAGGGUGAACGGCCACAAGGGGACUGAGACACGGCCCUUACUCCUACGGGAGGCAGCAGUGGGGAAUAUUGGACAAUGGACCAAAAGUCUGAUCCAGCAAUUCUGUGUGCACGAUGAAGGUCUUCGGAUUGUAAAGUGCUUUCAGUUGGGAAGAAGCAAGUGACGGUACCAACAGAAGAAGCGACGGCUAAAUACGUGCCAGCAGCCGCGGUAAUACGUAUGUCGCAAGCGUUAUCCGGAUUUAUUGGGCGUAAAGCGCGUCUAGGCGGAAAAAUAAGUCUGAUGUUAAAAUGCGGGGCUCAACUCCGUAUUGCGUUGGAAACUGUUUUUCUAGAGUACUGGAGAGGUGGGCGGAACUACAAGUGUAGAGGUGAA
rnacentral:rRNA from 1 species